AAGGAUCAUUAUUGAAUAAACCUGAUGUGGCUGUUAGCUGGCUUUUCGAAGCAUGUGCUCGUCCCGUCAUCUUUAUCUCUCCACCUGUGAACAUUUUGUAGUCUUGGAUACCUCUCGAGGCAACUCGGAUUUUAAGGAUCGCCGUGCUGUACAAGUUGGCUUUCUUUUCAUUUUUCAAGACUAUGUUUUUUAUAUACACCAAAGNAUGUUUAAAGAAUGUCAUCAAUAGAAACUUGUUUUCUAUUAAAAUUAUACAACUUUCAGCAACGGAUCUCUUGGCUCUCGCAUCGAUGAAGAACGCAGCGAAAUGCGAUAAGUAAUGUGAAUUGCAGAAUUCAGUGAAUCAUCGAAUCUUUGAACGCACCUUGCGCUCCUUGGUAUUCCGAGGAGCAUGCCUGUUUGAGUGUCAUUAAAUUCUCAACCUUCCAGCUUUUAUUAGCUUGGUUAGGCUUGGAUGUGGGGGUUGCAGGCUUCAUUAAUGAGGUCAGCUCUCCUUAAAUGCAUUAGNGGAACUUUUGUGGACCGUCUGUUGGUGUGAUAAUUAUCUACGCCGUGGAUGUGAAGCAGAUUUAUGAAGUUCAGCUUCUAACCGUCCAUUGACUUGGACAAUUUUGACAAUUUGACCUCAAAUCAGGUAGGACUACCCGCUGAACUUAAGCAUAUCAAUAAGCGGAGGAAAAGAAACUAACAAGGAUUCCCCUAGUAACUGCGAGUGAAGCGGGAAAAGCUCAAAUUUAAAAUCUGGCAGUCUUUGGCUGUCCGAG
rnacentral:rRNA from 1 species